UACGGGGGGAGCAAGCGUUGUUCGGAUUUACUGGGCGUAAAGGGCGCGUAGGCGGCCAGCACAAGUCAGUUGUGAAAUCUCCGGGCUUAACUCGGAAAGGUCAACUGAUACUGUGCGGCUAGAGUGCAGAAGGGGCAACUGGAAUUCUCGGUGUAGCGGUGAAAUGCGUAGAUAUCAGGAGGAACACCGGUGGCGAAGGCGGGUCUCUGGGCCGUAACUGACGCUGAGGAGCGAAAGCAUGGGGAGCGAACAGG
rnacentral:rRNA from 1 species